GCGUAAAAUACCACUUUUAUAGAAAAAAAUGCCGACCCCUAGUCUAAAUAUUUGAGUUCAUUUAAGACAGCUAGUUGUUUCUUUUCAUCACCUAAUCUACAUUUGACUUCUUUUCCUCUUUGCCCAUCUUUGAUAUGCCUUUACAAUUUGAAAAUUAUUCUAUUAAAUAAUUCAGAACAAAACCGACAGCUGCUGCCCAGAGUGAUCUGCUGACAUAAAUCUGCCCCACGCGGUGCCUGCUCCACCUUGCUGUCCUUGCUCUGUGUAUGUCUAACAAAGCUGAUUUUGUUGCCCGUAGAAUUUUUAUAAAACGUAUUUCACACUCUGCUUUUUUUUGCAGGUUAUAUUCUGUCUUGAUUAUGUACUCCUCCUUCCUAUAGUUCUUUAUGACCCUAAUUUAACGAAAGAGCUCUCUUGGCAGCCAGGAUUCUCCCUUUGUUCAGAAUCACUUUCAUUUACGUUAUCAGAAUUUUAUUUUUGAAAAUCAUCUAUUUCUCAUGAAUGAGUCUUUAGAUGAGGUCUUUAGAUUAUACCUGUGAGUUUUUCUUUCUCUUUUUCUGAAAUACCUAAAUGUUUUCACAGGAGUUUGAGGGCUUGUCGGAAGUCCAGACGUUGUUAGCCAUUUUAGACUCUCAGAUGACAAUCCAUUCCACUUCGACUCCUCCUCAGCCAGUUACUCUGCUUGCUUCCCUUCUGCGGAACUCAACCUGCUCCACAAGCCUCAAAAACAACCUGUUAAUGUUCUUGAACUGCAGUUUUCACACACUAACAGGUGAACUGUUCAAGCUGGUGUGGCUGAAACUUCAGGGUUGGAGCCUCACAGCAAAGCCCCAGACCAUGCCCACCCCACUGCAGCCAUUCAGGACAGCCUCACAGAAGCCUGCAAGGAAAUCAGUUCCUCGCUGGAAGUCAAUAACAAGGAGCCUCUAG
rnacentral:lncRNA from 1 species